AGAGUUUGAUCAUGGCUCAGGAUGAACGCUGGCGGCGUGCUUAACACAUGCAAGUCGAACGGAGUAUAUUUAAAAGCUUGCUUUGUUAUACUUAGUGGCGGACGGGUGAGUAACGCGUGGGUAACCUGCCUUAUACCGGGGGACAACAGUUGGAAACGACUGCUAAUACCGCAUAAGCGCACAGUCUCGCAUGAGACAGUGUGAAAAACUCCGGUGGUAUAAGAUGGACCCGCGUCUGAUUAGCCAGUUGGCGGUGUAACGGACCACCAAAGCGACGAUCAGUAGCCGGCCUGAGAGGGUGAACGGCCACAUUGGGACUGAGACACGGCCCAAACUCCUACGGGAGGCAGCAGUGGGGAAUAUUGCACAAUGGAGGAAACUCUGAUGCAAGCGACGCCGCGUGAGUGAAGAAGUAUUUCGGUAUGUAAAGCUCUAUCAGCAGGAAAGAAAAUGACGGUACCUGACUAAGAAGCCCCGGCUAACUACGUGCCAGCCGCAGC
rnacentral:rRNA from 1 species